UACAGAGGUCCCGAGCGUUGUUCGGAUUCAUUGGGCGUAAAGGGUGCGUAGGCGGCGGGGCAAGUCUGAUGUGAAAUCCUGGGGCUCAACCCCAGAACUGCAUUGGAUACUGCUUUGCUAGAGUACUGGAGAGGGAACUGGAAUUUACGGUGUAGCAGUGAAAUGCGUAGAGAUCGUAAGGAAGGCCAGUGGCGAAGGCGAGUUCCUGGACAGUGACUGACGCUGAGCCACGAAAGCUAGGGGAGCAAACAGG
rnacentral:rRNA from 1 species